rnacentral:rRNA from 1 species
UACGAAGGGGGCUAGCGUUGUUCGGAUUUACUGGGCGUAAAGCGCGUGUAGGCGGGCCGUUAAGUUGGGGGUGAAAGCCCGAGGCUCAACCUCGGAACUGCCUUCAAAACUGGCGGCCUGGAGCAAGAUAGAGGCGAGUGGAAUUCCGAGUGUAGAGGUGAAAUUCGUAGAUAUUCGGAGGAACACCAGUGGCGAAGGCGACUCGCUGGAUCUUUGCUGACGCUGAGACGCGAGAGCGUGGGGAGCAAACAGG